rnacentral:lncRNA from 1 species
CUCUGCCUGCACCUGCUGCACUGCCUGACCCUGGGCUGGGAUGGAGAGAGACAGCCCCUGAAUCAUGGUAAGAUAUUAUUAUUGUAAAUUCAUCCUCACCCCCUCCCCCUGUCACCCUCUCACCCCCUCCCUCAGUCACCCUGUCACCCCCUCACCCUGUCACCAGUCACCCCCCCUCAGUCACCCUCCCUCACCCUGUCACCAGUCACCCCCCCUCAGUCACCCUCCCUCACCCUGUCACCAGUCACCCCCCCUCAGUCACCCUCCCACUCACCCAGCCAGCCAGUCACCCCCCUCAGUCACCCUCCCCUCACCCUGUCACCAGUCACCCCCCUCAGUCACCCUCCCUCACCCCUGUCACCCCCCCACUCAGUCACUCUGUCACCCCCUCCCUCAGUCACCUGUCACCCCUCUCCAGUCGCACCCUGUCACCAGACACCCCUGAUCACCCUGUCACCCCCCCUCACCCUGUCCAACCUCCCUCAGUCACCCUGUCAUCCCCUCCAGUGCUCUGUCACCAGUCACCCCCCUCCCUCCAGUCACUCUGUCACCAGUCACUUGCCCCCCUCCCUCGUGCUCUGUCCAGCCCCUCAGUGCCUGUCACCCCCCCCUCAGUCACUCUGUCACCAGUCACCCCCUCCCUCAGUCACCACCUCCCUCCGUCACCUGUUACCCCCUCCCUCAGUCACCCUGUCACCCCUUCCCUCAGUCACUGUCACCAGUCACCAUAGGCGUGCGCACGGGGUGUGCCGGGUGUGCCUGGGCACACCCUAAUCCCCGCGGCACGCCUAUGUAUAUUGAGACCGGCAGGGGAGCUCUCAGGAUCUCCCCUGUCGGCUCAUGCAAAGCCGGCGCUAUCCGAGCUCGGGCUCUGCUCUCAGCCUCCCUCCCCACCGAUCCACAUGCAGGGAGGGAGGCAGGAGAGGACCGGCGGAGCUCUUGCCAGUAGCUCCGCCGGGUUCCUCUCGCGAGAUAUGAGCGUUGCCACGGCAAUGCUCAAAUCUCGCGAGAGUGAACUCUAGCCCCACAGGGGCUAGAGUUCACUCUCCACUGGACCACCAGGGAUGGAAGCAGCAGGAACAAGGAUCCCCCCUCCCAGGCACAAGGUAAGAAGGGAGGGGGGAUAUCAAGUAAUGUACCCCCACCUCCACCCCCACAAUCACCCACACACAUACAGCACACACAUACAGCACCCACACCCUCACAUACAGCACCCACAGACAUACACAGUACCCACAGACAUACAGCACCCACAGACAUACACAGCACCAACACACAUACAGCACCCACAGACAUACACAGCACCAUCACACAUACAGCACCCACAGACAUACACAGCACCAUCACACAUACAGCACCCACAGACACAUACAGCACCAUCACACAUACAGCACCCACAGACACAUACAGCACCAACACACAUACAGCACCCACAGACAUACACAGCGCCAACACACAUACAGCACCCACACACAUACACAGCGCCAACACACCUACAGCACCCACACACAUACACAGCACCAACACACCAGCACAGCACCCACAGACAUACACAGCACCAACAGACAUACACAGCACCCAGCACCCACACAGCACCCACAGACAUACAGCACCCACAGACAUACAGCACCAACACAUACACAGCACCCACAGACAUACACAGCACCCACAGACAUACACAGCACCCACAGACAUACACAGCACCAACAGACAUACACAGCACCCACCCACAUACAGCACCCACAGACAUACACAGCACCAACACACAUACAGCACCCACAGACAUACACAGCACCAACACACAUACAGCACCCACAGACAUACACAGCACCUACACUCAUACAGCACCCACACACAUACAGCACCCACAGACAUACACAGCACCUACACACGUACAGCACCCACAGACAUACACAGCACCAACACAUACACAGCACCCACACACACAUACACAGCACCCACAGACAUACACAGCACCCACAGACAUACACAGCACCCACAUACACAGCACACACACACACACAUACACAGCACCCACAGACAUACACAGCACCCACAUACACAGCACACACACACACACACACACACAGCACCCACACACACAGCACCCUCACACACAGCACACAAACAGCACCCUAACACACACAGAACUCUAACAGUACCCUCACAAACACAAACAGGACCCUAACAAACACACACAGCACACAACCAGUACCCUCACACACAAACAGCACCCUCACACACAGUACAUUAACAGCACCCUCACAAGCGCGCACACACACACAACCAGCACCCUCACACACAGUACAUUAACAGCACCCUCACAAGCGCGCGCACACACACACACCCUCACCCACAUAGCACACUACCAGCACCGUCACACACACAUCACACUAACAGCACCCUCACACACACACAGCAGUGUGUGUAUAUAUGUGUGUGUGUGUGUGUAUAUGUGUGUGUGUGUGUGUAUGUAUAUAUAUAUAUAUAUAAUAUGGCGUGUGCUUGUGCUUUAGGGUGCACACCCUAUUGCAAUAGGCUGCGCACGCCUAUGCCAGUCACCCCCUCCCUCAGUCACCCAGUCACUCCCUCCCUCAGUCACUCUGUCACUCCCUCCCUAAGUCACUCUGUUACCCCCUCCCUCAGUCACCCUGUCACCCUCUCCCUCAGUCACCAGUCACCCCCCCUCAGUCAAUCUGUCACCAGUCACCCCCUCCCUCAGUCACCCUGUCACCCCCUCCCUCAGUCACACUGACACCCCCUCACUCAGUCACCCUGUCACCCCCUCCCUCAGUCACUCUGUCACUAACCACCCCCUCACUCUGCGACCUGUCAUCCCCUCGCUCUGCCACCUGUCAUCCCCUCGCUCUGCCACCUGUCAUUCCCUCACUCACUCUGCCACCUGUCACUCCCUCCUUCCCUCACUCUGCCACCUGUCACUCCCUCUUUCUCUCACUCUGCUACCUGUCACUCCCUCCCACGCUCUGUCAGACCCUCCCUCCUACGCUCUGCCACCUGUCCCCGCCUCACUCUGCCAUCCCUAUCCCACAGCACACUAUGUGCCUUACAAUGCCCUACACACACUACAUCCCUAUCCCACCUCACACUAUGUUCCCUACACCAGGUCUGUCUCCUAAAUUACUAUCAAUAAAGAUUUGUAUCAGGACAAGUAGAUUGUCACGGCAGACAAGUAGAUUGGGCAAACACUUUAGUCCCUGGACAAGUAGUUGUUUUUAAAAUUUCAACACCCCUGCCCUCUCUGCCAUAUACACCCCCGCCUUGUCAUAAUACCCUCCCUGCCAUAUAACCCCUGCCUUGUCAUAAUACCCUCCCUGCUAUAAACCCACUACCUGGUCAUAAUUCCCACCCUGGCAUAUACCCCUUUAACAUGUCAUAUAAUACCCACACUGCCAUAAUACCCUCCCUGCUAUAUACCUCCACCUUAUCCUAAUAGACACCCUGCCAUACACCCCCGCCUUGACAUAAUAUCCUCUCUUCCAUAUAACACCCAAUCCCAUUGUUUCCACCUGUGACAUAAAACACUGUAUACUCACCACCUCACCUGCAGUCACCUCCUUCAAUCCACUGUGUGCAAUGGCACACACUGUCAUAGUAUCCACCACACUGUCCCACCCUGCCAUAUACCUUUCUCCUGCUAGUAAUACUCAGCCACUUACAUAUACCUCCACGUUGUCACAUUCCCCCAGACAGAUAGGACAGAUAUAUAUUGGGAGGCAGUGAGAUUAAACAUUUUUAUUGACCAUAUAGGCGUUUGUGUACGCCCUGCAGUAAGCCAGCAGCGGGGAUAUGACGUCAUCCUGGCAUCGGCAUCACUACUGGUCGUGCAAGUGAGCUGUGCAGGAAGAGCACAGAGAUCCCAGCCCAGCAGCAACCGCUAGUCACUCCCAGGGUAAGGUAGAGAGGUUGGUUGGACCUCUUAAUAACUAAAUGCGUGUGUAUAUCUGUGGUUUUGUAUGUGUUUAGUAGAUAGCUCUCUAAUUUGGUGUCCUUAAAUAUGUCAAUCCCACAUAAGCAUAACAAAUAAGUGAGUUAUCUACUAAACAACCUAAAGAUUAAAAUUAAGAAAAAGGCUUUUUAAAUUUUGAUCUUUUAGCUGUUUAGUAGAGAAUUCCCUAAAUUGGUGCCCUUAUGUGAGAUUCCAUGUAAAGAUACCAAAUUAGGGUGCUGUUUAGCAGAUAGCUCCCUCUUAAUAACUAAAUGCGUGUGUAUAUCUGUGGUUUUGUAUGUGUUUAGUAGAUAGCUCUCUAAUUUGGUGUCCUUAAAUAUGUCAAUCCCACAUAAGGAUAAUAAAUAAGUGAGUUAUCUACUAAACAACCUAAAGAUUAAAAUUAAGAAAAAGGCUUUUUAAAUUUUGAUCUUUUAGCUGUUUAGUAGAGAAUUCCCUAAAUUGGUGCCCUUAUGUGAGAUUCCAUGUAAAGAUACCAAAUUAGGGUGCUGUUUAGCAGAUAGCUCCCUUAUUUGGUGUCCUUAAAUCUAGCAAUCCCACUUAAGGAUAAGAAAUAGGGGAGUUAUCCGCUAAACAAAGAUCAAAGUUAAGAGGUGUCAGCCAUCCCAAAAAUCUAAGUGGCUAAUGUGAAUUCUAUGUAAAUGUGUUGUCUGAUGCCAGCAUGCACAACAUGCUGUCGUCAGACAGCCAAUGGCAGCACAUUACCCCAUUACCUAGUGAAAAUUAUUAAUGCUCCUAGCCCCCACUGUUUAUGUGCCUCCCCUAUAUGUUGUUCCUAGAGUCACCACUGCUUCAGGGGCCCAGUUGUGCGCUGUGGUGCUUUAAUGGUGCGACCAGGCUUCUGAAAUAAUAUAAUGGCAGCCCUGGGGGAAGUGAAAUUCAGUCACUUCCUCCCAGCUAACACUGAAACAACGCAGGAUGGAGGGCGGCACUGAUUGGGAGAGAACUAGAGCCCAACUCCCAACAGCCUCAGCCAGCAGGUACUAAACAGGAGGAUGGCAUUGUGUAUCUGUAUGUGUGUCUGUGUAGUUGCAUGUGUGUAAAUGUGUGUCUCUGUAUCUGUUUGUGACUGUGUGUCUGUAUCUGCAUGUGUGUCAGUGUGUAUAUAUCUGCAUACAUCUCAGCAUCUUGCCAACACUACACACAAAAGCAUGCCUGUAUUAAAAUGCCAACACUACAUACAAACACACCCCUACAUUCACUCACACUUACUCCAUACAAAAGCAUGCUUACAUUGAAACACGCAAGCACUGCUCAAUGCUACAUACAUUAAAAAAAUUGUGGGUGUUUACAUUUUAAAGUGCAGGGGGGAGAGAGGGGUGCCAAAACUAGGACCUGCCCCGGGUGCCAUAUGCUUUAGGUACGCCCCUGAUCCCAGGGUAUGUCAAAAGGCAUAUUUUGAAGCUUGGCGUGGGAUAGUUUUUCCGCUAGCUUGUGCCACGUGUAGUGGUAAUAAGUGUUUUUUCUGCCUUUUUGACACACAAAGUGAGUUUGCACGAUAUAUUUUGCAAACCUUAUGUGUGCUACGACUGUAUAAUACUACAUAUGUUGCUCAGCUAUGUCUUCUGAGUACAGCAAUACCCCCGUAUGUACCUUUGGCAGGUAUAUGUGGAUGUUGAAGGGGCACAUUUGAGAUGCAGCCAUUAAGUUUGUUUUUUCUAACUUGGAAGUUUUACGCUGUGUCCAUGUUCCAUUUUGGAGUAGUUUAGCUGGUUGGUUAUUCAAAAAUCCCCACAAAAUCCCCACAAACACACACUCUUUAUUAAAGAAUACACCCUGGGUUAAUUCAAAAGGCAUAUUUUGAACCUUAGCAUGGGAUCAUUUUUUCUCUAGUUUUUAAACUUCUUUAAAAAAACGUUAUUAAAACUUUUUUUUCAACUUUUUUUUACUGUUAACUCCUAGCUAGCCCAACACCAAAUUCCUCAAUUCCCCACUAACUUCCACCCACCACAACUAGCUAAAUAUAUCAUUUUUAUAUAUUUAAAUUAAUUUUAAAAAUAAAAUUAACCCCUAAAGGAUACAAAAAAUAAAAGUUGACCCUCAGGGGUUUAAAAAAAAAAAAAUUAGAUCACAGCAGUGGCGGAUCCAGGGGGGGGGCAACGGGGCAAUUGCCCCCCCCGAGAAAUCCGACGGUCUCCCUCUUCCUCCCCUGCCAGCCCUGCAAUGUGCCUGCGGACCGGAGGGGAGAUCACAGAUCUUCUUCCCCGGUCCGCAGGCACCGUGCUGGCGGCCAGUGGGGGAGGGAGGGAGUGAGAGAGAGGACCCAGGAGCUCAGUAUGCAGCUCCUCCGGGUCCUUCUCUCGCGAGAUUUGGAGCGUUGCCGCGGUUACCACGGCAACGCUCCAAAUCUUGCGAGAGUGAACUCUAGCCCGGGAGCGCGGGCUAGAGUUCACUCUCACCACCUGACCACCAAUGAAUCCCCCACCGGACCACCAGGGAAAUGCCCCCCCUCCUCCCAGUAAAGGUAAGAAGGGAGGGGGGGCAUAGAAUAUAUAUUUAUUUUUUUAAAUUAAAUUAAAAAAUAUUAUAUUAUUAAAAAAAAGCCACCCUACCCUGAUCACACACACACAUACAUUGCCCCCAAUACUGCCCCCCCAUUCACACAAACUGCCCCCCCAUUCACACACAAACUGCCCCCAUUCACACACAAACUGCCCCCCUAUACACACAAACUGCCCCCUAUACACACACAACCCCCCAUUCACACAAACUGCCCCCAUUCACACAAGCCCCCAUUCACACACACACAACUGCCCCUAUACACACACAAACUGCCCCCUAUACACACAACUGCCCCCAUUCACACAAACUGCCCCCAUACACACAAACUGCCCCCAUACACACAACUGCCCCCAUUCACACAAACUGCCCCCAUUCACACAAACUGCCCUAUACACACAAACUGCCCCAUUUUACACAAACUUUCUCCCCAUUCACACAAACUGCCCCAUACACACAAACUGCCCCCAUACACACAAACUUCCCCCAUACACACACACACACUGCCCCCCAUACACACACACACACUGCCCCCAUACACACAAACUGCCCCCCAUACACACAACACUGCCCCCCAUUCACACAAACUUCCCCCAUUCACACAAACUGCCCCCUAUACACACAAACUGCCCCCCAUACACACACACACACUGCCCCAUACACAAACCCCCCCCAUUCACACACAAACUGCCCCCAUGCCCCCCAUUGCCCCCAUUCACACACAAACUGCCCCCAUUCACACACAAACCUGCCCCAUUCACACAAACUGCCCCUAUACACACAAACUGCCCCCAUUCACACAAACUGCCCCAUUCACACAAACUACACAAACAUACACACACACACUGCCCCCAUACACACACACACUACACACACACUGCCCCCAUACACACACACUGCCCCCCAUACACACACAAACUUCCCCACAUACACACAAACUGCCCCCACAUACACACACUGCUCCCCCAUACACACAUACUGCCCGCCAUACACACACACUGCAAUACUCACACACACUGCAACCGUUACACACACUGCAUCCCUGACAAACACUGCCGCCCUCACUCACACACUACAACCUUCACACACGCACACACUGCACCACUCACACACACCACUGCUCCUAUACCCUACUACAGCCCCAUUUCCCAGCAGAUCUCGGGUAAGUUGUCAAACUGUUCUUAAACGGUUUGACUACUUACUGUGGGAGGGGGUCCCGGCACUAUUGACACCAUAACCACUACACUGAGCUGUAGUGGUUAUUGUGUCUGGAUUAUUUCUUUAAAUAAUCUACAAGUGCCCCUCCCGAGAUCAGGCUCUGGAUCCGCCACUGGAUCACAGUAAACUGUAGUUCCUGCCAAUUGAUCACUGUAUUUUAUUAUUAAAGCAGGGGAAAAGGGGGGGUUGGAUUUUACUUUAAGUUUAUUCAUUUUUUUACAUAGGGAGAAGAUCAGCAGUGAUCCGUCUCCCUGCACUUCACACUGAUCGAGGAAGAGCAGGGAGGUGGAUCGUCAGAACGAUCACUGCUGCAGGGACAGCGCGAUCGGGUGCUCGAAUACAGAGGCAGACCAGAGGAGGGCUAACCCCACGGUCUGGGGUUAACUUUACCGCAUGACGGACCUGGUCCAUCAUCCGGCAUUAACUGCUUCCCUGGCAUGACGGACCUGGUCCGUCAUCCGGCGGUAAGGGGUUAAAUAAAAAUCACUGGUUCUGGCAAUCAGCCAGACUGUUAACAGAGAUGGCAACAUAUGUAUCUAAUUGUUGCUUCUACUGAUAAAUAACAAAUUGGCAUAAGUAUAUAAACAAUCAGAGGUAGUGUCCAGAAUUAUGGACAGCUAAUUAUAUUAAAGUGAUAGGGAAAAAGAAGCUAGUAGUCCAAAUAGUAUUAAUCCAAAUGAUAGAAAGCUGUCUAAUGGAGCUGCUAGAGAUCAGGUAAGUGUCCUAGGCUGUGCCUUUAUGGGCACUUAAUCUUCUAUCAAAACUAAACUCCUUGUUUCUAUACAGCAAAUAUCUCGAGCUGUAUGUUUGAAGGUAAGUAUCCUAUUCUGUGCCUUCAUGGGCACCUAUCGUCUUGAUUAAGAUAAGUUCCUCGAGAGGAGACAGCUCCUAUCUGGAUUGCAAGAUAUCAUUGCAGGAGUUCGAGAACUCAAAUUUUGGGAACAAGCCCCGACGCAUGUUUCACCAGGCAGGCUCUUCACUCCUGCCUGGCGAAACGCGCAUCGGGGCUUGGCUCAUGAAGCUACUUAUGCUGCAAUGAUAUCUUACCUUGCUAUCGGCACAUUCAAGCUUAACAUUUAUUCCAUAUAUUCUUGUGAAGCCACAGGUAUACUGAGCCGACACUUAUAGAAAAUCAAUCCAGAUUGUGGGCAAGUCUCGAAUUUGUUAAAAUAAGUCAAAGAACUACACUCGUAUUAUGUUGGAACCCUCCCAAGGUGCCUCACAUACCAAGGUGGCAACAUAACUCAAAUUCAGAGUACAAAAUAAACAGUCUGGGCACGCAAUGGCUAAUCUAACGUAGAUGUUAUUGGACACAUAAAAGGUCCACGGGAUCUAGAGUGCCCAGACAUCAGUUUAUUUUGUACUCUGGACUAUCAGAUCCAGACAGACAAAUGAGUACUGGCCAACUAACUUAAAAAUUGUGGUGGUAGAAAAGAAACAGAAGACUGCAUGUGUGAUGGAUGUGGCAAUACCUAGUGACCUUAAGAAGAAGGAACAUUAGAAGGUGAACAAAUACCAAGGACUGAAAAAGGGAGCUAGAAAUAAUGUGGAUAGUGAAGGCAGCAAUAGUCACAGUUGUGAUAGAAGCACUUGGGGCUGUAACCCCCUUUUUGGAAGAGUAGUUUAAGUAGAUUCCAGGUGGGAUAUCUGAGAUCUCCGUUCAGAAUAGUGCAGUUUUACAAACAGCUAAAAUACUGUGCAGAACUCUCAAAAAACAAGGCCUCUAAAUAGCAAGGAUACACAAAAAAACAAAAACAAAAAAACAUGGAUGGGUUAGAAAGUCAGUUUUUAUGUUUAUUUAAACUUUUUAUUUCUUUUUGUAUAUACGCCCUGUAUUUGCAACAUCCAUAGACAACCACAAGGUGUCAAUAUUGUCUAAAGUCACUUGAAUAUUGCUUUGCUUGUCAUAGUGACCACAAGAUGCCAGUUUAAUACUCAGCACACUGACACAGAAUAUAGCUUGCUGUAUGCAGAGUGUCCUGCGUGUGUCACUCUCACUCUGUACACCAGCAAAAUAGUCAAACAUUUAUUUGGACUCCUACUUUGGGGCUACAUUCUCCAAGUGUCUCUGAUAUAAUCGUGAAAGAAUAUGUAUAAGUUCUGUUACAGAUGGUUUGAAAUACUUCAGCACCUUGGCUGUAAGGAGAACUCGCUAAUCAGAAUAUAUUAAUAGGAGAAGCCAAAGUAAAUAAGGAGGAAAUAAGUACGAAAACAAGCGAAGGGGGAAACAAAGGAAAAAGGGUAGUGUCGAGAAAACAUACAAUGUGGAGAGAGGGAGUGUAGAAAAGAGAGAUUGGUGAGAAAGACUGUUUAAAGGGUUAAAUAACCAGCCAGUGAUACAGUAAAGGAGACGAAAAGCUUAGGGGGAGAAAUAAAAAAAAACAACAAAAAACUGGAAGGUCCAAAAAAGGAGAAAAAAUAAAUAUGCGACAGAGGGAAAAAUAAGUAGAAGCGAGGAAGCGGAAUGGUGGGAGAGGGGACUAGGAGAGGUUAAAGCCACAUUUAGCCACAUUUUUUUAAUCCUGAGAUGGAAUGUUCUCACAGUAGAGUCCAUGAGGGAAAAAGCCAAGUUUAGAUGGACAGAUAAGCAGAUUGGCCAAGGCCCAAAGGCAUCUAACCUCUCCCCUACAGAGCCUCGAUCAACUCCUUCCCUGCCAGAGGCACAUUACUACUUUAGAAAAGACAAUGAGAUUUAAUGAUUGACCAGUUCAACUGUAAUCUGGGAGGUCCCAUUCUCAAAACAUGAGGGAAACUGGUGGAAUAAUAACAAAUAGACAUGCCAAUGUGAAAACUUACUGUACAUACCAUAGCAUGAAACAUGGUGUAGUUUUAAUUGAUUAAAGUUUAGGAUGUCCUACUGUUAGGGGAAGGGACUUGUGUUCUUUGGCGUUAAACAGGGAGGACUUGUCAGGCAUGAAAAGACACCCUUUCCCUCAGACAGCAACACUUAAAUAAGGGACAGGGAAUUUAGCAUACAAACACUGUGAGGGAGGGGGGGGGGGGAAAAUGGCAGAGAUUUAUGAACACCAAGAAAUAUAAUUUGUAUCUGCCUGUUACAAUUGCCAACAUAAUUAUUUGUGGUAGAACAAGAAGCGACAAGGGUCUCAUAGCCAUCGCCUAGAAUUGUUGCAGUAUAUUUUUUGGAGACUUUUCUGGUGACAAUUCUGAUGCUGGCUGCGGUCCCAAAAUGUCCUCUUAUAAUCCCAUGGUUCUCGUUAUAAUACUAAGACAGAAGAUGCUGUGACUAUUCAGUUACAAUACACACACGUUCUGACAUUAAAAUUUACACUGUCCUACCAACCCAUCUGUAUGUUAUAUAAAUCAAAUACCCAAGGGUGCGUUUAUACCAUUGUUAAUAAUGGCGGCAAAUUUUAAUUUAGUUUUAGUUAUAGUCUUUUGACUAAAAAGCCAUUUUUUUAUCAUUAUUAUUGCCAUUUAUAUAGCGCCAACAGAUUUCGUAGCGCUUUACAAUAUCAUGAGAGGGGGGAUUUAACUACAGAUAGGACAAUUACAAGAAAACCUACAGGAACGAUAUGUCGAGGAGGACCCUGCUCAAACGAGCUUACAGUCUAUAGGAGGUGGGGUGUAAAACACAUUAGGACAGGAAAUAGCAAUUAAAUAAAGUGGAAGUGAAGCAGAGCUGGAGGAGAGAGUAGAGUGCUGCCCUUUAGGAGAGAGCAAGAGACCGGCAUGUGAGGUAGAGGUUACUGUGGGAGGCCAUAAGCUUUCCUAAAGAGAUGGUUUUAAGGCUUCUUAAACGAUUGAAGACUAGGGGAGAGUCUGAUGGCGGUAGGCAGGCUAUUCCAUAGGAAGGGAGCCGCCCACGAGAAGUACUGCAAGUGUGAGUUGGCCGUAAGGGUGCGAGCAGUGGACAGGAGAAGGUCAUGGGCAGAGCGGAGAGACUGAGAAUUGUUCAGUGCUUUAUGGGUAUGGGUUAGCACUUUGAAGUGACUCCUAUAGGAUACAGGAAGCCAAUGUAAGGACUGACAGAGGGGUGAGGUGUGAAAGGACCGACUAGAGCGGAAAAUCAGUCUGGCGGCAGCAUUCAUUACAGACUGUAAUGGGGCAAUACUACUUUUGGGAAAACAAAUUAGGAGAGGGUUACAAUAAUCCAUGCGGGAAAUUACUAGAGCAUGGACAAGCUCCUUGGUAGCAUCUUGCAUAAGAAAGGGGCAGAUGCGGGCUAUGUUUUUAAGAUGGAAUCUACAGGAUUUGGCAACAUCCUGGAUGUGAGGCUCAAAGGUGAGGCCAGAAUCAAGUAUGACGCCAAGACAGCGCGCUUGCAAGAAUGGACUGAUGUGGAUACCACUAACUUGAAAGGAGAGCGAAAGAAGAGGAUCAGUAUUAGGAGGAGGAAAGACAAGGAGCUCAGUUUUAGAGAGCUUGAGUUUCAGAAAGCGGGAGGACAUCCAGCCAGAGAUGGAAGAAAGGCAAGCAGUGACACGUUGCAAGACAGCAGGGGAGAGGUCUGGGGAGGAGAGAUAUAUCUGGGUGUCAUCAACGUACAGGUGGUAGUGGAAUCCAAAUGAGGUAAUAGGUUUGCCAAGAGAGGCAGUAUAAAGAGAAAAUAGAAGGGGACCAAGGACAGAGCCUUGGGGGACUCCAACCAAGACAGGACGAGGGGAGGAGGUGAGAAAGGGAGACACUGUAUGAGCGUUGGGAAAGAUAAGAGAAAAACCAUGAGAGGAUGGAGUCACAGAGAACGAGUGAUUUAAGAGUUUGAAGAAGGAGAGCAUGAUCAAUGGUGUCAAAGGCAGCAGAGAGGUCAAGAAGAAUUAGUAUGGAGUAGUGGCCUUUGGAUUUAGCUGCGAUUGGGUCGUUAGUAACUUUGAUAAGAGCAGUCUCAGUAGAGUGGAGAGAGCGGAAGCCAGAUUGAAGAGGGUCAAGGACAGAGUUGGAAUUGAGGAAGUGAGACAUAUGGGUAAAGACAAGUCUUUCCAUAAGUUUUAGUCGUAUUUUAGUCAUCUGAAUUGAUUUAGUUUUAGUCACAACAAAAUCUGGUGGCAAUGGGAUACGGCGUUGCUGUGGCAGCAAAAAAGCUCUAUGAGCUCAUAUUACCAAGAGGUAAACUACAAACUGCUCUCCCUAUGGUACAGAACACCAUCCCUGUUACACCAGAUCUUCCCAUCAAUCACUCCGACAUGCUGGAGAUGCCAGGCAGAACUCGGCACACUGAUACAUAUAUGGUGGGAAUGCAGGGACAUUAACCCAUACUGGGUAAUGAUUAAUGACACUGUGACUGACAUCCUAGGAGACAUACCGGAAUGGAACGCGGAACUAGCCCUGCUGCACAUCUCGACACAAUCGAUCCGGAGGUAUAAAAGAUCUAAAUUGCGUCACCUGCUAAACGCGGCCAAAACCAACAUUCUGGCACAUUGGAAAAAACGUGACAUACCAACUAAGAAAGAAUGGAUUCGCAGAAUGGAAGACAUCCAUGGAGCAGAAGAAAUACACGCCUCCCUAACGGGACUUGCAACAAAACACACGGAGGUGUGGCUCCCAUGGUUUCUAUACAUCACUCGUUAUAGGCAAGCAGAGGAUGCUCCCGAACCCAUCGACGGGGCGACAGCAGGCGCGGAACCCACCAGACACAACCCACCCCCCUCCUUACACCCCCCCCUGUAAGCCUAAAUUCCUCCCCCCUUUCCACCCAACUCUCUCAUCAAGGAACCGACUUAUUCUGGGGCCCGGGGGGUAGGGGGCGAGAAUAGGGAGAUAUACCACCACACAAAAGAUACACUAACCUCUGAAAAAACAAAAGGAUAAACACCCAGCCUUGAGGUGAUUUGAGAAGCAGUCGACCCUCAGGAAACACGAGUCACACCUUGUUACACAUACCAUCACCAAAAAGUGUAGACGGAGGGGACAACGCACAUAUAAAGCAAAGGGCCUGGCACCACCUAGACCUACACCAAACUCCCCUUACGAUGUUACUGAUACACACAUCAAUAACGCAGUGAGGAAAACACGUAUGGGAACCCACGCGAACCACAGGCUCUGCCACAAGGAUUGAUGACAAUACCCAUAGCCAAGCAUGUCAGUGAAAUAGAGACAGGGGCAUUUUCCACACAAACUAUUAACCAACACACAGCAACUAUUCAUCACGCUCAUAGUAUAGACAAGCGGGUGAACCCCUGCUAAGUAUAAUACCAGGAAUGAACAUGAUCCAAUGUUCACCACCACACCCGCUCGGCAACGCAUACCUAACAAUGCUAACUUGGACCUACGAGCCAGAAUUAAACCAGCCGCCUUACCGGUAAACAUUUAGAUAUCCCCUCAACCUGUACACACAGCAUAUUGUUGAAUCGUAUAAAUAUUUUGUUUGCAGAGACCUGCGAGUCUCAAUGUUUUGUUUUUUUUUGAAAAUCUGUUCAUUGAGGAGUAUGCAUAUUCAUCAAUAGUAACAAAGCAAGACACGCAGGUCUAGGUAUGUAAGUAAAACAAUACAAACCGAGCAUAAGUAUGUUAUAACUAAGUUGUCGCUAUCAAAUUGGUCGCGAUAGAGAUUAUACUUAUCAAUAGGGUAACUAGACCCAUCCGUCCGUUAGUUUAGUUUCAGCAGGGUAUUAUAAAUAAACAUGGGUAACCUUAUAUACCAAACUACACCUCUUGUUAUAUUCGUGGUUGGUGAGUAAUGCACAUAGAAGGAGUAUGUCUGGAGUUACAUCUGCCGUUGCAUACAUUUCCCGAUAUAUGAAGUUGUUGUAGAAAACGCCCAUAUAUACUUCCCAUCUCAUAGGUGAGGUAUUUGUUAUGAAGCCGGUUAGCAUUAAUGAUACCUGCGCCUAACUCUAAGUACGGUGAAUGUAGCAACAUGCUACUUGAUGGAUACCCCGAACACUAGGCCAACGUGGGAGUCGGAACAAGCAUCCAACCUGGGCCCCGCACCUGACACAUCGAUUUUCCCCUCGACCGUGACUCUAGGCUGAGCUCCUACGGCGACCAUGUAUCCCUGUAUCUGAGGGAAGGCGCUUGGGACUUCCCCCUCCUGUGUAUCAUGAGAGAAGUGUCCAAGUGCUGUGUGAUGAGGGUGCUACCCCUGUGCAAGGAUGAAAUGAGUCAUGUGUCUGUCUGGUCUGGGGUGUUCGUCAUGUGAGGCAUAGUCCCGCUACUCGUCGGAUGUCCAUCUCACCUGAUAUCCAGGUGCCUCAUAUCUACAUUGAAAUGCCCUUAGUCAUGUUAUAUCAGCUGGUGUAAGGUCCAGUUCUCCCUGUUACUCUCCCGGUGUAAUGUGUUAUUUGUUGUCCCACAGUGAACUCCUAGUAGACCCCUCCGGCUCCGAGCCCGGGCACCCACCCGCCGACGAGAGGAAUAAGGGAAUGGGCGAGUCUCAAUGUUACACUCAGACACCCUACGCAACUAACAAAACUACGCUUUGAGAAAAAAAACACAACAAUGCAAAAACAAAACAAAGCAAUUUAAAAAAAACAAAAAAAAAACAGCAGCUUUAAUGUUUGAAACACCGUAUAGCAGGGGUGUCAAACAUGCGGCCCCCCAGAUGUUGCUGAACUACAACUCCCAUGAUUCUUUCAAUGAAACAGAUAGCCAGGAAAUCAUGGGAGUUGUAGUUCAGCAACAUCUGGGGGGCUGCAUGUUUGACACCCCUGCCGUAUAGGGUCAAUGGUUUUGACCUGUAAUAUAUCAGGUUUAUUGUACAAUGGUAAAAUAUUGUAAUGUCGUAAUGCUGUAACCUUAUCCUAUUGCUUAAUAAAGAGAUUUACAAAAAACAAAACAAAAUCAGAUGGGUAUAUUUAAAGCCUCUAUCUGUCUCUUUUUCCCCUUUACCCAGCCCCUCUGAGUCUCUUUGUGUCCCCUUAGCCCCUCUGGGUGUCUCUCUCCCAAGCCUAGGUCUGUAUCUUUUGCCCCUUCCCCAGUCCCUCUGUGGCUCUUUCUCUCUAUAGCCCCAUUUGUGUGUCUCUUCUGCCCAGCAUCUUGUUUCUUUCUCCCCCCACCCCCUCUGUGUUGCUUUGUGUGUGUCCCCUGCCCCUGCAUGCAUCUUGUCUCCCCUCUUGUCUCAUUCUCCACAUGCACAUCCAUGUGCUCAUUACCCCCCAGUCCCUCCAUGUGUUUCAUUCCCCCACAACUCCUUUUGUCUCAUUCCGUCAUCCCCUCAUGUGUCUCAUUUCCUCUCCUCCCUCCCCCAUGUGUCAGUUUUAAUUUUGGUGGCAAAUUUUAAUUUAGAUUAAGUCAAAAAGCCAUUUCAGUUUUAGCUGUAUUUUAGUCAUCUGAAUUGUUUUAUUUUUAGUCUAGUUUUAGUCUACUAAAACCUUUAAAGCUUAGUAAAUAAAACCACAUGAGAUAGCAGUGGAAUAUAUCUUCACAGGCAUAGGCACAUAGACACUACUCAAAUACAAUCAUGUUUACUUACUAAAUAAAUAAAUAUAUGCCCACACGUUAAUUUAAUAUGCAAAGAGCUAUUAUUCAUGUACUCUGUAUUGCAUUAAAGCAUGCAUAAAACGCAGGCAUGUAACCCACUGGCCCUUGUUUUUCUAUAUUAAACAGUAACAUCAAUCUGUGUAUGUUUCACUUAUGCUCCCUUUCUUAGUUCCUGAGAGAACAGACAGAUAUAGCUUGAGAAGAUGGGAAAGUUUUAAAUCCCACGAAUAGAACACCACUCCUUAGAAGAGCUGGACGUACACCUCAUGAAGGAGAGGGGAAGAGAGGAGCAAAAUGGCAAAUAGAGAUAUAACUACAGGAAAUUAGAUAAAAAAAUACUGUGGAGAGAUGUGUUAUAUUAAUAAGAUUUUAUAGGGAUAACAAGGGAGCUGGGUUACCAUAAUAAGAUGUUUGGUAAUAAGGCACUCAGGAGCUGGGUUACUAUAAUAAGAUGUUUAUAAGUAAUAGGCGAUCAGGAGUUCAGAUAUUGUAAUUAGGUGUUACAGGGGUAAUAAGUCAGGAGCCAUGUUAUUGUAAUAAGAUAUUAUGAAGUAAAUAAAACGCUCAGGACCUCAGAUACUGUAAAAGGAUGUUAGAGGUGUAAUAAAGUAUUCAGGAGCUAGGUCACUACACCCUGUUCUAAAUUAUUAUGCAAAUUAUAUUUUUCUAAUUUACCUAAAUAAUUGAUGUAAAUAACAGUCGGCAUAAUUCUCAUGUUAUCAACUAUUAAGAGUACAAUUCAAAUUUUAUUGAACAAACCUCCUAAUGAUAACAUUAUUUUUUUAAAACAGAAAAAACUUACAAUGCACUGUUCCAUAUUAUUACGCAUAGUAAGUUUCAAAACACUUUAUAGGUUGUAAAGAACUGAAAAUUGUCAACAACAUUUUAACUUUUUAAACAUUUUAACAGGUCAUGUUACAUUUUAACAUAGGACCCCUUAUUUGAUGGCAGUUUCACAAGUCUUGCAUCCAUUGAAUUUGUGAGUUUUUGGACAGUUUCUGUUUGAAUUUGUUUGCAAGAUGUCAGAAUAGCCUCCCAGAGCUGCUGUUUGGAUGUAAACUGACUCCCACCCUCAUAGAUCUUUUGCUGGAGGAUGCUCCAAAGGUUCUCAAUAGGAUUGAGGUCAGGGGAGGAUGGAGGCCACAUGACUUUCUCUCCUUUUAUCCCCAUAGCAGCCAUUGAUGCAGAGGUAUUCUUUGCAGCAUGAGAUGGUGCAUUGUCAUGCAUGAAGAUGAUUUUAAUACGGAAAGCAUAGUUCUUCCUUCUGUACCAGGGAAAAAAGUAGUCAGUCAGAAACUCCACAUACUUUGCAGAGGUCAUCUUUAAACCUUCGGGGACCCUAAAGGGGCCGACCAGCUGUCUUCCCAUGAUUCUGGCCCAAAACAUGACUCCACCACCGACUUGCUGACGUCGCAGCCUUGUUGGAACAGGGUGGCCGUCCACCAACCAUCCACUACUCCAUCCAUCUGGACCAUCCAGGGUUGCACGGCACUCAUCAGUGAACAGGACUGUUUGAAAAUUAGUCUUCAUGUAUUUUUCUGCCCAAUGCAGCCAUUUCUGCUUGUGAGCAUUGGUUAGUGGUGGCCGAAUAGAAGGUUUAUGCACAGUUGCAAGACUCUGGAGGACUCUACACCUUGAUGUCCGUGGGACUCCAGAGGCAUCGGUAGGUUCAAAUAUCUGUUUGCUGCUAUGUAAUGGUAUUUUAGCAGCUGCUCUCUAGAUCCAAUGCAUGGAUCUGGCAGAAAUCUUCCUCAAUGUGCCUUUAUCUGCACAAACCCGUCUGUGCUCUGAAUCAGCCACAUUUCUCUUAAUAGUGCGAUGAUCACUCUUACGUUUUCGUGAAAUAUCUAAUGUUUUCAUACCUCGUCCAAGGCAUUAAACUAUUUCACUCUUUUCGGCAGCAGAGAGAUCCUUUUUUUCCCCAUAUUGCAUGAAAAUUGUGCGCUGCUUAAUAAUGUGGAACACCCUCCUUUAGUAGUUUUUCCUUAAAUUGGGCUCACCUGGCAAUCUAAUUAUCAAAGUUGUCUGAGAUUGUUUUCAGUGAUCAAAAGAGCCCUGAGACACAAUGCCAUCCAUGAGUUAAACUGAAAAACAAAAUACUUAAUCUUUGUGACACUUAAAUAGAAUUUGCAUAAUAAUUUGUAACAGGGUGUAUAAUAAGAUGUUAUAGGGGUAAUAAUGCACUCAGGAACUGGGUUACUGUAAACCGAUAUUACAUGGGUUAUAACGCACUCAGGCGCUAUGUUACUGCAAGAUUAUGCUAUAGGAGUAAUAAGGCAAUCAGGAACUGGGUUACUGUAAAAAGAUAUUACAUGGGUUAUAACACACCCCGGAGCUAUGUUACUGCAAGAUGAUGUUACAGGGGUAAUAAGGAACUCAGUGAAUGAGCUACUCUAAUAAGGUAUUACUGGAGUUAGAUGGUACUUAUUAGUACUGGUUAAGUGUAUUAAAAUGUUACAGGGGCAAUAAAGUGCUUAGAUGCUUGAUUACUGUAUUAUGAUAUUACAGGUUAAAGGGUUACUCCAACCAAGAAAAAAAGGUUUAUUAAAACUUUCAUGACAUGGUUCCUCUCUCCAUAAAGGAAAAGAUUGAAAUUAAAAUAAUAAACUAGAACUCAAAUUCAGUCCAGUGGCAAGGCCAAGUUCUCCCUCCAGGUCAUUCUUCCUCCUGUUUUAGCUUCUAAACGUUUGCUUUUAGAAGUGGUCAUGGUGGUAGGAGUCUGGAUGUACAGUGUUUCAGUUUGAAACACUGCACAUCUAGAGAUAUUUUUAAUUGUAUGCUGUGGGCAAGUUACAGCCCCUGCACACAUGACCCUGUUUGAGACUGCCUUAUGUCAAUUCUGUGCAAAAACAUGUGUUAUCAGACAGGGCUGGCGCUUCCUACAAGGCUCCAUUAGGAGGGGGCGCCCUUUGCCCUCAUCGAUGGCCCCUCUCAUGCUGCAGCCGCCUGAGCGCUCUAUAGAGGGCGCUCUAUUAGGGCGCACCGGCCCAGGGGUGCAAGAAACGAAGGAUCGACAGGAGGGAAACGCACAGCGCACCUUCCUGUCAGUCCCUCAGUGUAACAUGGCCGAGCUCCUCUCCAGUCUGCGAUACAGGAAUAUCCGUUUUCUGUACCCGGUCGAACUGAUAGGAAGUGCUCACUCAGAGAAGAGACCACGAAGGGAGGGUGGGGGGAGAGGAGAGACCACUAAUGAAGUGUGGGGAGGGAGGAGAGACAACAAAAGGGGAGAGGAGCCACCAAGGGGAAGAGGGGAGAGACCACUAAUGGAAAGUGGAGGAGGAGAGCAGAGACCACUAAGGGGGAGACAAGAGACCACUAAUGGAAAGGGAGGGAGAAGAGGAGAGACCACUAAGGGAGGGGGGAGGAGAGUAGAGACAACUAAGGGACAGGGGAGGAGAGGAGAGACUACUAAGGGGCAGGGGAGCGCUCUAAUGGACGGAAGGGAGAGGUCUAUAGGAUGGGGGGAACACCAAGAGAUGGGGGGGAUAGGAGAGAGCACUAGGAGACAGGACGGGAGAGCUCUAAGGGACGAGAGGAGAGCUCUAAAAGACAGGAGGGGAGAGAACUACAGGAAAGGGGGCAGGGAAAUCACUAAGGGACAGUGGGGCAGGGGAGAGCACUAAGGGACAGGAGGGGAGAGAGGCUGGGGAAGGGGGGAAAGAGAAGCACAAAGGGGCUGGUAGGACUCAGCCCCUAUUCUACCCCAACAACUCUCUCUUUCACACUAUGCACACACGCACACAAUGCACCCUAUACAUACACAGAAACACAGAAUGCAUCCCUACACACACAGAAACACAACAUGCUUCCCUUACACACAGAGAAACAGACAAUGCAUCCAUUACACACACACACACACACACACACAAUGCAACCCUUAAACACAAAGACAAGGCAUCAUUUGCACACAUACACAGAAACACACAAUGCAUCCCUUACACACAUGCAAACACACACUGCUUCUCUUACACACACACACAAACACAAUGCAUCUCUUACACACAUUGCAUCCCUUACAUACACAGAAACACACCUUGCAUCCCUUAUGCAUACAAACACAGAUUCACACAAUGUAUCCCUUACACACAACCAGAAACACACACUGCUUCCACUAUACACACACACUGCAUCACCUACACAUAACACAUCCCCUACACACUCCAGUCCCUGUGAGCGAACUCAUAAGUGGAACAUAUAGGUGGACUUAUGGGUAGGCCUUAUGGGCAUACUCACCAUCAGGCCCUGGGGCCUAGACCUUGAGCUGUGUAAGGGGCAUAAAAAAUGGAGCUGCUUCCCGUUCUCCCAGAACAUUGAAUUUUGUGACCACAGUUACAAAUAGCCGCCAGAGAGCCUGUUCUACACCAGACCAGUGGAGCCAAACUGCAGCCAGAGCCCAUCAUCAUCCUCAUCUGGUUGUAAGUAGGCAAUCUAGUAUAUUAUUAGUGACAUUAAGCUCUAAUUUACCUCACAUUAAAGGGACACUAUAGUCCCCAGAACCACUGCAGCUUAAUGAAGUGGUUCUGGUGUCUAUAGUCUGUCUCUGCAUGCCUUAUAAUGUAAACAAACUGUGUGCAACACUGGCGUUAGUUCAUAUGGCAGAUCAUAUGGGUGGGGCAUUGUGAUGUUACAUGGGGGGGAGUGGGGGCGGCAAAUUUUUCUUUUGCCUAGGGCGGCAAAAAUCCUUGCACCGGCUCUGGAUGUAGAGGUCUGCUCACUUGCAGGCAGAACCUACUAGAGGAAUCAUGUCUAUCCCCUUGCUUCUUUCAUUCAGCCCUCCAUAUAUUUCCAUUACUCCUUCAGGGUUUUUUUUUUUGUCUAUGAGAAGCAUCUGAUAGGACCGCGCAAGGGAGGCUACGAUGUCGGAUGGGGUGUGAAAAACAGCGCAUGGAGCUUUGCUG